GAGAUAAGAGACGCGUUAUCAAACCUAACGGGUUUCUCUAUUAUAUUAGGUCCCACAUGUUAAAUGGUGGGAGAAAAAUGAGAGUGAUAAGAUACCCGUUGUCUAAAUUAUUGGAUUUGUUACCUUUGAUCUUGACUGCAUCAAUGAUUAUUGCGCUUUAUUUUUUUAUUUUUUAUUUUAUCAUUUCCCAUAUUAGAAAUAAAAACGUCAUUCAUAUUCUCUCUUUAAAACCUUCGCCUAUCCCCAAUCCCAAAUCAAAACCCUCAUCCUCUCUUCUUUAUGAAUGAGCCGUCACUUACUCCAACCCCAACCUCAAUUUUUUUUAUGAAAUUCUCCUUCAAUCUAGUGUUCGGCCGAAGAAAAAUAAAACAAAAUCCAAUACCAUUAAAUUGGAUCUAUAUCAUACAUUAAAAUUAACCCGAAACUUUUGAUUUUUUCUGCAUUCUGCUUCUUAAUUUACCUUCACUUUAAUGUAUGAUGUAGAUCCAAUUCAUCAGACCACGUUGUUAUAGAAUUAAUUUCCAAGAAAUUAAGAAGAAAGAGAACAACAAUGAAGGCAAAUUAGAGUAGAAAAAGGAAGAAAUUGGUACUACAGGUGGAUAAAAGACGACACACAACGUAUUUCGGCUGCUAGAAGUCGAUGGAGAUCGUCAUGGUAUCAUACCCUUUUAAUUGCUCCUAAUUGAAGGUUUACGUGACAUAAUUCUUAAACAAAGGAGAAAGAAAAUGGAGUACUCAAGCCUUAUUGAUGUAAUUACAUAUGUAAUUAAAUUUCAGUAAAUUAAAAAAAAAAAUUGUUGCCAUUGUAUGUCGGAUGAUUAUUUGUAUCACAUCAAUUUUAAUUUAACCAAUUGUUAUUUUUAA